GUAGGUGGCAAGCGUUGUCCGGAAUUAUUGGGCGUAAAGCGCGCGCAGGUGGUUCUUUAAGUCUGAUGUGAAAGCCCCCGGGCUCAACCGGGGAGGGUCAUUGGAAACUGGGGAACUUGAGUGCAGGAGAGGAAAGUGGAAUUCCACGUGUAGCGGUGAAAUGCGUAGAUAUGUGGAGGAACACCAGUGGCGAAGGCGACUUUCUGGCCUGUAACUGACACUGAGGCGCGAAAGCGUGGGGAGCAAACAGGAUUAGAUACCCUGGUAGUCCACGCCGUAGACGAUGAGUGCUAAGUGUUGGGGGGUUUCCGCCCCUCAGUGCUGCAGCUAACGCAUUAAGCACUCCGCCUGGGGAGUACGGUCGCAAGACUG
rnacentral:rRNA from 1 species